CCUGGUGGCGAGCGGCGGACGGGUGAGUAAUGCAUAGAAAUCUGCCCGGUAGUGGGGGAUAACCUGGGGAAACCCAGGCUAAUACCGCAUACGUCCUACGGGAGAAAGCAGGGGAUCUUCGGACCUUGCGCUAUCGGAUGAGUCUAUGUCGGAUUAGCUUGUUGGUGAGGUAAUGGCUCACCAAGGCGACGAUCCGUAGCUGGUCUGAGAGGGUGAUCAGCCACAUCGGGACUGAGACACGGCCCGAACUCCUACGGGAGGCAGCAGUGGGGAAUAUUGGACAAUGGGCGAAAGCCUGAUCCAGCCAUGCCGCGUGUGUGAAGAAGGCCUUCGGGUUGUAAAGCACUUUCAGUGGGGAAGAAAGCCUUGGGGCUAAUACCCUCGAGGAAGGACAUCACCCACAGAAGAAGCACCGGCUAACUCCGUGCCAGCAGCCGCGGUAAUACGGAGGGUGCGAGCGUUAAUCGGAAUUACUGGGCGUAAAGCGCGCGUAGGCGGUCUGAUAAGCCGGUUGUGAAAGCCCCGGGCUCAACCUGGGAACGGCAUCCGGAACUGUCAGGCUAGAGUGCAGGAGAGGAAGGUAGAAUUCCCGGUGUAGCGGUGAAAUGCGUAGAGAUCGGGAGGAAUACCAGUGGCGAAGGCGGCCUUCUGGACUGACACUGACGCUGAGGUGCGAAAGCGUGGGUAGCAAACAGGAUUAGAUACCCUGGUAGUCCACGCCGUAAACGAUGUCGACUAGCCGUUGGGCUCCUUGAGAGCUUUGUGGCGCAGUUAACGCGAUAAGUCGACCGCCUGGGGAG
rnacentral:rRNA from 1 species